rnacentral:rRNA from 1 species
ACAGCAGCCGCCGCGGGAAUACGUAGGUCCCGAGCGUUGUCCGGAUUUAUUGGGCGUAAAGGGAGCGCAGGCGGUUUAGUAAGUCUGAAGUUAAAGGCAUUGGCUCAACCAAUGUAUGCUUUGGAAACUGUUAGACUUGAGUGCAGAAGGGGAGAGUGGAAUUCCAUGUGUAGCGGUGAAAUGCGUAGAUAUAUGGAGGAACACCGGUGGCGAAAGCGGCUCUCUGGUCUGUCACUGACGCUGAGGCUCGAAAGCGUGGGUAGCGAACAGGAUUAGAUACCCCUGUAGUCCCUGUCUCUUAUACA